AGAGUUUGAUCCUGGCUCAGGACGAACGCUGGCGGCGUGCCUAACACAUGCAAGUCGAGCGGAGACAGUGAGUAGCUUGCUAUGAGCUGUUUUAGCGGCGGACGGGUGAGUAACGCGUGAGCAACCUUUCCCAGACAGGGGAAUAACACACCGAAAGGUGUACUAAUACCGCAUAAGACCACGGGAUCACAUGGUUCUGGGGUAAAAGAUUUAUCGGUUUGGGGUGGGCUCGCGUCCGAUUAGGUAGUUGGUGAGGUAACGGCCCACCAAGCCGACGAUCGGUAGCCGACCUGAGAGGGUGAUCGGCCACAUUGGGACUGAGACACGGCCCAAACUCCUACGGGAGGCAGCAGUGGGGAAUAUUGCACAAUGGGGGAAACCCUGAUGCAGCGACGCCGCGUGAGCGAAGAAGUAUUUCGGUAUGUAAAGCUCUAUCAGCAGGGAAGAAAAUGACGGUACCUGACUAAGAAGCCCCGGCUAACUACGUGCCAGCAGCCGCGGUAAUACGUAGGGGGCAAGCGUUGUCCGGAAUAAUUGGGCGUAAAGGGCGCGUAGGCGGCUCGGUAAGUCUGGAGUGAAAGUCCUGCUUUUAAGGUGGGAAUUGCUUUGGAUACUGUCGGGCUUGAGUGCAGGAGAGGUUAGUGGAAUUCCCAGUGUAGCGGUGAAAUGCGUAGAGAUUGGGAGGAACACCAGUGGCGAAGGCGACUAACUGGACUGUAACUGACGCUGAGGCGCGAAAGUGUGGGGAGCAAACAGGAUUAGAUACCCUGGUAGUCCACACUGUAAACGAUGAAUGCUAGGUGUAGGGGGUAUCGACCCCUUCUGUGCCGCAGUCAACACAAUAAGCAUUCCGCCUGGGGAGUACGGCCGCAAGGUUGAAACUCAAAGGAAUUGACGGGGGCCCGCAC
rnacentral:rRNA from 1 species